rnacentral:misc_RNA from 1 species
GAUGAAGAACGUAGCGAAAUGCGAUAAUUAAUGUGAAUUGCAGAAUUCCGUGAAUCAUCGAGUCUUUGAACGCACAUUGCGCCUCAUGGCAUUCCGUGAGGCAUGCCCAUCUCAGCGUUAGAAAAUAAUCUCAAAUUUUAGUUUUGUGCUAAAAUUUGGAUCAUGUCAAGGAAGCUAUUACUAUUAUUGUGAUCGCUCUUUGGAAAUUGAUAGGUCUUUGAGUUGCUACUCAUAGAACGUGAUGAAUCUUUCUUCGUUCUAUUGUAAUUCACUCUGGUAGUCCUAAAACUUGUAUGCCUGUGGCAUAUCUUGUAAUUUGACCUGAGAUUGGGUAGGGAUACCCGCUGAACUUAAGCAUAUCAAUAAGCGGAGGA